AAACACUGACUUGUAACAUCGGC
rnacentral:miRNA from 1 species